UUCUUAUCAAGAGUGGUGGAGGGACUGGCCCUAUGAAGCCCAGCAACCUGCUAAAGUAAUAGCAAGUUUUAAAUAUAUUUUUAUAUUUAAAGUGUUAUUUUAGUGUGGUGCUAAAUCCUGCAGAUUUAAUAUCUGAUAGAUAAGGG
rfam:Clostridium baratii str. Sullivan, complete genome.